rnacentral:rRNA from 1 species
AUUGAACGCUGUCGGCAUGCCUUACACAUGCAAGUCGAACGGCAGCACGGGAGCAAUCCUGGUGGCGAGUGGCGAACGGGUGAGUAAUAUAUCGGAACGUGCCCAGUCGUGGGGGAUAACGUAGCGAAAGCUACGCUAAUACCGCAUACGAUCUAUGGAUGAAAGCGGGGGAUCGCAAGACCUCGCGCGAUUGGAGCGGCCGAUAUCAGAUUAGGUAGUUGGUGGGAUAAAAGCUUACCAAGCCGACGAUCUGUAGCUGGUCUGAGAGGACGACCAGCCACACUGGGACUGAGACACGGCCCAGACUCCUACGGGAGGCAGCAGUGGGGAAUUUUGGACAAUGGGCGAAAGCCUGAUCCAGCAAUGCCGCGUGCAGGAUGAAGGCCUUCGGGUUGUAAACUGCUUUUGUACGGAGCGAAAAGGCUCUCUCUAAUACAGGGGGCUCAUGACG